GCGAAGCUAUGAACCGAAGCCCCAGUAAACGGCGGCCGUAACUAUAACGGUCCUAAGGUAGCGAAAUUCCUUGUCAGGUAAAUUCUGACCCGCACGAAUGGCGUAACGACUUGGGCGCUGUCUCAACGAGAGAUCCGGUGAAAUUUUAAUACCUGUGAAGAUGCAGGUUACCCGCGACAAGACGGAAAGACCCCAUGGAGCUUUACUGCAGCUUGAUAUUGAAUUUGGGUACGAUCUGUACAGGAUAGGUGGGAGCCGUUGAACUUUGAGCGCCAGCUUGAAGGGAGGCAUCCUUGGGAUACCACCCUGAUCGUAUCUAGGUUCUAACUUGGUACCGUGAUCCGGUACGAGGACAGUGUC
rnacentral:rRNA from 1 species